rnacentral:rRNA from 1 species
GGAAGUGGGACGACGUCAAGUCAGCAUGACCUUUAUAUCCAGGCUACACACACGCUACAAUGGUCAGUACAAUGGGUUGCCAAGCCGCGAGGCGGAGCCAAAUCCUAAAAAGCUGGCCUCAGUUCAGAUUGCAGUCUGAAACUCGACUGCAUGAAGUCGGAGUUGCUAGUAAACGCAGGUCAGCUAUACUGCGUUGAAUACGUUCCCGGGCUU